GCGAGGCCGGGGCGGGCCCGGGGCCGGGGCGGGGAGCGACGGCCCCACCGGGCGGUGAAAAGCAGCCGCGGGGGCACCGGGCGCUCCGCUGCCGCCAUGAGGGCAGCGCUGGCCCCCGGCAUCCGUCUGCUGCGCGCCCUGCCCCGGGACAGCCGGUACCGUGGCCUGACGCUGGUGCUGACCUUCCUCUGCUACACCAGCUAUCACCUCUCCCGAAAGCCCAUCAGCAUCGUCAAGAGCCAGCUGCACCCCAAUUGCUCUGCUUUGGACCCAAACCCCCACAACAACUCCAACAGCAGCACGUGGUGCAGUUGGGCACCCUUUGAUGGGGACAACUACAAGGAGCUUUUUGGAGCACUGGACAAUGCCUUCCUGGUGGCCUAUGCCAUCGGGAUGUUUAUCAGUGGGAUUUUCGGGGAGCGCCUCCCCCUGCGCUACUACCUGUCAGGGGGGAUGGUGCUGAGCGGGCUCUUCACUGCACUCUUCGGCCUCGGGUACUUCUGGGACAUCCACGUCCUCUGGUACUUCAUUGUCAUGCAGGUCUGCAAUGGGCUGGUGCAGACGACAGGCUGGCCUUCUGUUGUGGCAUGUGUUGGGAAUUGGUUUGGGAAGGGAAAGAGAGGUUUGAUCAUGGGCAUCUGGAACUCGCACACCUCCGUCGGGAACAUCUUGGGGUCGCUCAUCGCUGGUGUCUGGGUUUCCUCCGCCUGGGGCUUAUCCUUCAUUGUGCCCGGCAUCAUCAUCGCUGCUGUGGGCAUCAUCUGCUUCUUCUUCCUUGUGGAGUAUCCCGAAGACGUCGGCUGCAGUCCACCUCUGCAUCACAUGACCUCUGAUGAGGAGGAUGCUGGAGGAGUGACCACCAAUGGGAAGGAUCCUGAAGCGGCCACCUCCAAUGAGGGGUCACUGAGCACCUCAGGCCAGAGCAGCACAGAUCGCCCUGACAGCCCCAAGGAGGCAGCUGAGGAGCCCGAAGCCAUCAGCUUCCUUGGGGCACUCCGGAUACCUGGUGUGGUGGAGUUCUCCCUUUGCCUGCUCUUUGCCAAGCUGGUGAGCUACACCUUCCUCUACUGGCUGCCCCUCUAUAUUGUGAACGUCGCUCAUUUCGGUGCCAAGGAAGCCGGGGACCUGUCAACCCUCUUUGAUGUCGGGGGCAUUUUAGGGGGUAUCUUUGCCGGCCUCAUCUCCGACUACACGGGGGGCAGAGCCACCACGUGCUGCGUGAUGCUGAUCCUCGCCGCUCCCGUGCUGUUCCUGUAUAACCAUGUUGGCCAGAACGGCAUUGGCACAUCCAUAGCGAUGCUGAUUGUCUGCGGCGCUCUGGUUAACGGGCCCUACGCGCUCAUCACCACGGCCGUGUCAGCAGACUUGGGAACCCAUGAGUCUCUCAAAGGCAAUGCCAAAGCCCUUUCUACUGUCACAGCCAUCAUUGAUGGCACAGGAUCCAUAGGUGCUGCACUAGGGCCACUGCUUGCAGGGCUCAUCUCCCCCACGGGCUGGAAUAACGUGUUCUACAUGUUGAUAGCAGCGGAUGUCUUGGCUUGCCUGCUCCUCACUCGCGUGGUGGUCAAAGAGGUCCGCGGGUGGUGUGGCUACAUGGCGAGGAAGAGAGGCUCUAGUGUGCAGCUGACAGAGUCAGUGCUGGAUGGGAAGUAGCUCGGUGUGAGUAUUUCUGCUCAAGCCCUGAGGAUUAAAUGCAAACUCAAGCCUGAUUCGCCCCGCUUUCGAGUUCUGCUUGGCAGGCUCAGCCUCCAACAGCGGCUCUGCUGAUAAUCAAAGGGUUGAGAUCAGGAUUUGGGAAUCAAAUGGUGAUGGCCAGGGAAGAGAGUGUGGAUGGGUGGGUGGGCAGCGUGUCCUUGUCUCUGGCUGAUAAGAUGUUAGCCAUGGUGCCUGAUUGAUUGGCAUUGAUUAAACACACUUGAAACAGCCAAAUCUAUAGGCUGCCCUGCCCACCCAAGCUAAUGAGCUUGAUUACACACAGCCUGGGCUCGCUAAUCAAAGCCAUGGCCAAAUCACUGCAGCAAGGGUAUAAAUACCUCCAAAUCAGCACUGCCCUGCCUCUGAUUGCCACUGGAGCAUCAAGCACUUCCAGUCCUGGCAGUGGGGCCCCAGACCCCGUACUCCCCAUGAACCUUUGGCCCUUAUAUCUUGUGUUUGCAGGUGAAAAGACCAUUAGUGUGGGUCUUGCGCUGUGGUUUAAGGAGUUCUGAUGGAUCCCUGUGAGCCGCCUGGAGGGAGCAGAGAGGCUGGAGCACGCCAGGAGCGUGUUUCUCUCGGCAGAGCCGAGGCAUAGCCCCAUGGGCUCCUGCUGCCGCCCUGGGCUGGCUUCGGAGAGAGGAGCAGUCCCUGGGCCUCGGCACAGCAGCUUUUUGGGCUGAAUCUUCACUUUUGGCCAUUUUAUUAAUAAAAAUGUGCAAAGCCUGUGUUGCUGUGUCUCGGCAGGGCUCGGCCAGGUCUGUGUCAA